AACCAAUUUGCUCAACUUUUCAAGUAUGUAAUUUUAUAUUAGUUCGUAUGUAUUUUGAUUAAAUUUUUUAUUCUGCAUCAAGUUUAGUCUUCUGUUUCGGGCCCAUGUUGAUCUAGAUGGUGUUGGCGUCUUUCUUUCCGCUUCUAGCUCUGUUGAUCUUAUGGCUGAUCUCAUUGAUUAGCCUACACUCAUGUGACCUUGUUGUGAUUUUGUGACAGCUAUCCUUUACCUUUUUUUUUUUUUACAUAUUUGGUUCCCCUUUUAGGUUUUGUUUGAGCAGAUAUUUUGUGGCAUAAUGCUUAAUUGGGCUUCGCUUUUCUAUGUCUCGGUUUUGGAGGUCUGUCCUUAAUUGGUCUUUUUUGCAGAAACCCCCAAGUUCACUAUGUUUCUAAUAUAGUUCUGGAGAUUGAAAUGUUUCUCUGCUUCAGGUUCAUUCUUAUAUGAGCCUUUGUUUGAUUAAUGUUGGCGACGUAGAUUAUUAGUUGGGGUUAUAGAAGAGAGGAGCCUUUUGGGUUAACUUACAAGAGAACUAUUUUUUUUUUUCCGGUUCUUUUCUGGUUGCAGAUGUUGUGCUCCUUGAUAUUUGUGAGGUUUGAUGGAGCACAUCUUUUUCUCACGUGUUUUCCUCUUCGUACGGUAUUAGAUUUUUUGUUUUUCUCCAAGGGCUUGUUUCACAUUUGGAAUUUCAUUCGUUGACAAUUCUGCUUUUUGUUUGAUUUUUUUUCUUUGUCUUUUGUGUGAAUUAGCUCUUGUUGCAAUGAAGCGUUUGGUUGCUGCUGAAUUUUGGUGGUUCAGGGAUGUACUGUUGGGAAAAGCUGUAAUUGUAGAGGGAGUUUCUUGUCCUGUCAGCCUCCAUUUUUAUCUUGGCACAUUUUAUACAUAUGCUCCAUUAGAUUGUUGUUUUUCUUUUUUGCAGAUUAAUUUUGUUAUGGUGGUGUUCAUUUGUCAAUGAGCCUUCAGUUCCGGUACUUUAGUCCACUUUUCAGUCAUCUUUUAAGGUAGUUUAAUGUUUCGGAAUUUGUGGUAGAUGGUCGUGUUUGGUCUUGGUUCUAAAUAGUUAUGAGCACUUCGGCAGUUGAUUCCUUUGCUGAAGGAGUGGUUGUGAUGCCUUGUAUCCUACCUUUUUAUAAGUUGGAUACUUUGGUUAGCAAUUAGAAGAUUCUUUUCCCUUAUGCUGCAUCUUUGUAAUAGUCUAGUACCACUGGCUGCUCUAUCUUCAAAGUUCAAACUUCAAACUUCAUGUAGUAUGCGUCUUGCCAUCCUAUUAUCUCUGAUAUGUUCUUAUAGAAUGUGCUUUUACUGUAUAUAUCGGGUAGUUGUGGGUUAUCUUGGUAUGUGUUUAAAAUCCUAUGUUUCUUUUUUUUUUUUUUGCUAUUUCGAAUGCGAAACCUUUUGGAUUGGUGAGGAGUAUCUCAUUUUGUUCUAUCCCACGUACAUGUUUCCAGCAUUGCACUGAGACCAGGUUGUUUUGGGAUGAGCGAGUCAUUUAUAUAUGAAUUUCUUGUUAGAGUGAAAUUAUGUUGUAUAGGAUUUUGACUGAUUCAGUGAGGCUUAUUUGGAUAAGCCUAGUCUUUUGGAUCUCUUAGUUCUGCUCUUUCCCUAUUUAAGAACGGCCAGACUGGUGAAACUUGAAGUUUGUUGUCUUAAGUUUGCCAUCUAACAUGUGGUGUGGGUCAUGCCUUAGGUUCAUGAUUAUCUUCACUUCGUCUGUUCAUGUGGAUAUAGUUUUGGUGUUCCCAUUAGAUGAAGGUUGCUGUCUUGAGGUUCUAGUAUUUUCUGUGUUUAUGUAUUUGAAGUCUGUGGUUAUGUUGUGUAAGUUGGUUGGUCUAUCUAUGGUUGGCUGCAAAGCGAAGAAUUUGUGGUUAAGUGUAAAUUAUUCUUCUAUCUUGUGGCUGGCAUUAUCUAGGACCACUUUUGGAGCUCUCAUGUGAGAGUUAGCUGAUUACAUUUUCUGUAGGUUCCUUGACAAAUUAUAGAGGUGCUUGUUUGUCCAUGAGAUCAUUGGACUUUGUCUUCCUGCUGAUUGUUUAUAUUAUGAUGCGGAGAUCCUAAGUGGUUGCAUACAACAUUAUAGUUCGUUUUAAGUUCCGAUUAUGUGGGGAUAAGCUUUUACUAGUUACAACAGCAAAUAUUAUGUUUGGUUUUCUUUUAACUCUGAGUAGUCUUCGCUGCAAGCUGUUUAUUUUUAGUUUUAUGAGCUGUAUUUUUGUCAUAUUAUAUCCUUGGAUUCGUUGACAUGAGAGUGGUGACUCCAAGGUUCAGUACUGGUGCAUUACAUAAUUUUUUCCGCAGCUUGCGUAUGUAUAACUACAUUAGUGUUUGGAUAUCUGAUGCAUAUUCUGAAUUUGUCUUGUUUUAGGUGCAUGUUGAUUUUAAUGUUACUGGAUGUUUACCGGUGUGACGUGGCCAUCUUUCUUUUCACUCCAGGCUUUGUGUUCUAUCUUAUGGUUCAGGUCACUGGUUGGUUUACUCACCAUCUGUGAUUUUGUGACGUGAUUAUUUAUUUUCUUCUCUAUAUAUAUAUUUCAUUUUUUCAGUUUUACAUAAGCUGGUUCCUUUUUGAUAACAUAUUUAAAAGUGAUGCUACAGAGUGCUUGAUAUGGGGAGCUUUAUUUACCCAUUCCUCACUCUUGGUUUUGUCCUGAAUUGGUUUGUGUCACAUGCAGAGUUACGAGGUUGGUCUUUUUCCUCUGCUUCAUGGUUUGAUCCUGUAUUAACCUUUUUUUGAUUGACACAGGGUGUCUUUGUGAGCUAUGAAGCAUGGAAAUCUCUAGGAUAUGAAUGAGGUCCCAUUCCUACUUCCAGAACUCCCACACCUAAUCAAUUCUAUGUUAGCGAAGCCUAAAUAGCUGGAGUGGGAGGUUCUCUGUUUCAGAAACGUUGUUUCUUUGCCUAUAUCCCCACUCGUUUUUGUGUUACAUAAGUGAAGAGGAGUUUUAAGUUCAUUCAAUUAAAAUUGGACUUCAUUUUGAUGGUUCCUUUUGGUUGCAGAUGUUAGGCUCCUUGAUGUUUGAGAAAGAUGUUGGAUGAAAAACUGUAGCUGCAUUCCAACGCACUGUUUUUCUCAUUGGUCGAUAGUUCUUUUUGGUUGGAGACCUUGUGUAUAUCUUAUAGUCUGCUGCAGAUUUGAGAAGUGUAGUUGCUCGUUCUUCUAAUUAUGUGUGUGCUUUUUUGCUGUUUGUUUGUUUUACUUGCUAAUGUAAUCACUUGCAUAUUCUUUUUCAUGUGAUGUUUGUAGAUGCCUGAGUUUUUAUAUUAUAUAUACUUGCUUCUGGUAUGUGCUUUCAUCCUAUGCGUCCAUAUUUGGGUCAAGUUGUUGUAUUCCAACGUUUGUCUAGUUGCUUCCUUUUCUAUGGCUUUGAAAUGCUUUUAUAGAAAGUCAGUGUAAUUUAAAUCAUUGGUCAAUUUGAGGUCAUGGUUAUUGGCUUUGUAUGCAAUGCUUGUCUCCGUUAUGUUAUUCUUGCCUUUGCUUGAAGAAAUGUAUGUGCAGUUUUUCUCAUGGUGUUUAGCUGUGAUCACUUUAUUUUCUUGCUCUAUCUCAACUUCUUUUAAGACUUGAUUGGUUGUUUGAGAUGCAUCUUCAUGUUUCCGAUAGGUCUUUGGUGCUGUUAUGACUUGGAGUAUAUGAACAAGCUGUGAUAGACUGUGUUCUUACAGCAUAAAUUGGGUAGUCCAGUAAAUUGUUGGUAAGUGUUGUAGUUUCCAUUAAUUCUUCCCAAUUCCGCCUGGGUACAUAAUCACAAAAAUGGUGCAUUAGUAUAUGUUGUUGUAUGACCAGGUCGUUCAGGGACGAGCCAAUAAUUUAUUUUUGAACAGGAAAUGGAGAUGUUGUUGCUUUGUGAGAGUGAUUUUGAGUUGUUAUGGUCAUGCUGGCCAAGAUGGACUCAUCAUAUCUGAAAAAAGCUAAUUUGUUUCGAUUUUUCUAGAUUUACGUUUCACCUAAUGAUGAGUUGAUGACCAGCAUGUAUGUUUUGGCCAAAGGUUCUGUCAAAUUUGAUGUUACAACUUCAGUUUGCUAUCUAUGUGUUUGGGUCAUGAUCCUCUGGAUACUUCUUAGAAUACUUUUGGCAUUCGGACAUGUUGAUGUUUUGAGUGUCUGGUAUUCUGGUUGUUUAUGUUAAUUUGUAUUUUAGAAAUCUGUAAAUUAUCAUUCUUUGUGGUGCUUCAGGCUCUAUAUUUUGCUCUAAGGCCUACCAACUAAAGUAAAACUUAUUGCGGCUAUUACAUAUAACCAGCUGCUGCUUUGAUGGCUUGAGCUUACUCUGCGAAAUAUAUUAUAGUAAUGUUGGGAGUCAUUUUUUUACCGAGUGCUGAUGCUGAUUGUAGAGACUUCAUCCAUUUCAUUAUAAGUAUAUGGUUACACAUUUCAGCAUUUUGGUAGAAUAUUAUCGUUGCAUUAACAUACAAGGCGUUUUUAUUUCUUUGGGACACACAUUCUGCAUUGAGGCUGUUGUUUUGAAUUUUCAGCGAAAAUUUUGGAUAUGGUCGUGGUGCGUUUUGAUCAUAAUUGUUUAACUAUUGGCUUUUGGCUUCUCGUUCAUGCAUGCAUGACAUCUUUUCUAUUGGCUGAUGCAGCUGAUAACUUCUCAUUGCUAUGAUUAUGAAUGUGUUGUGUGUGAUAUAUAGUGUUAGUUAAUCCCUUUUCCCUGUCAGGAAAAUGGAGGUUUUUCUGUUAACUGAAAGGAACGUAUAUUAUAUCUGGCUUGAAAAUUUAUGGUUUGCUUUCAUGUCAUGAUUUCAUGAUCUGUUUGCCAUUUCUGAAGUCAUGUUGGUCAUAGGUUUUGAGGGGAUUUGUGCGGGUGCUGAUGCGUUCUAUUCUGUGCUCCUCGCUGCUGCGAUAUAUCUUUGUUGGGUCAUCAUCUUUUGGCUGCACGAUGAUCGAUCUUGGGAGGUCUUGUGUUGAUUUAAGAGGGAGUUUUUUUGUCUUCUAUAUUUUUGGAGAUGUGCUCUAGUAUAUUAUCAGUUCUUUUCGAUAUCUGCUUUAGUAUCUUGUAUGGUAACUCUAAAUUUUCUUUGAUAUUUCAGUUGAUGCUGGACUUCGAGUAGUCUUUGAUACCAGUUGCUUUGUUAACCAUAGUCUUUUGAGCUAUAUGUGUCAUAAAAUAUCUUAUAUCUUUAAAUUUGUUCACACGAAAUUGGUGAUGGAGCUCAAUGCUUAUGGAUUAGGUUGUUCGCUUAACUUCUUGGCUAUAUAACUUUAAUUAGCUUGUUUGCAUCUUCAGUAAAUUUAUUUGUUGUGCAGAUUCCAAGUUUAUCCCUCUUGCUUUAGGCCCAUGUUGAUACUCUCUUGUUCCUUUGUGUUGUCUUGGAGCUUCUUUGAUUUAUUUAGAGGUGUAUAUUAAUUUGUAGUGAACUCUUCUUUUUGUUUUUCUUUUUUUCUUCUCAGGGAUGUUUUAGUCAAGUGCAGCACACAUUCUAUAGGUCAUUAUGUAAGCAUAUGCAUUGUGAGAAUCCAUUUUUUUGGAUGAUUUUCCUUAUGGUAAUUGUUUCUCGUUUUAACUAAUGAUUUUUGAGAUGUUACUGGACAUUGGUGCAUUUUGGGAUACGAGUUUCAGAUACUAUUUCUUUAGGAUUGGGGGUCACAGCAGGAAAGAUGGGAGUAGCAAAAGGGUUGGGGGGUGGGGGGUGGGGUGGGGUGGGGGUUUGAUUAUAUUGGAUCUCAUAGUUGCAGGACUCCUUCCAUGGCUUUAGAAUUUUUUUUUGUAGGAAGUCUGUAAUUGAAAUUUAAGUUAUAGGAAGUAUCUGUAACUAAAUGUAUGCAUAAUGUUGAAUUAUGUUAUUCCUGCCUUGCUAGAUCGAGCUCUUAUAGGAACCAGUAUAUGUGUAGUUUGUGUGUGUGUUGCAGGCAUCCCUCUCUGUAAUAAGGAGUUUUCUCACUCUGUCUCAAUCUCUUACAAGAAAAGGUUCAGUUUGAUCUGCAUAUAUGAACAAGCUUUGAUAGACUAUGUUCUUACAGCAUAUGCUGGGGAACCUGGGAACUUAUGGUAGGUUUGGGUUCUCGUGUUCUAGAUUUUUGUUGGCUACUUACUGUGAACAUGAAAAAUUUUUAGGUUGGCGUGUGUUACUUUUUUCAUUUACAUCAUGACCUAAAUGGUAUAUUUGUAUAUGUUUCCAGUGGUGUUUAUGACCAGGUUAUUUUGGGGACAAGUCAAUUCAUUUUUGAACAGGUAAAAGCUGCUUCACGAGGGCAAUUGGAGUUCUUUUGGACUGUAAUCGCGCUGGACUAGAUGGAUUCUUCUUGUGAGGUUUAUUUAAAAAAGCUAAUUCAUUUAGAUUAUGUAGAUUCACUCUUUUCUAAAACCAGCAUGUCUGUUUUGGCCGAAAGAUUCUCUUAAAAUUGAAGUUUGUUCUGUUAACUUCAGGUUGCUAUCUAUGAUGCAGUGUUUGGUUCAUGCCUCAGGUUGAUUAUUUUCUAGAUACAUCUUAGAAUACUUUUGGAAUAUCUAAGAGGUUGAUGUUUUGAGAUCAUGGUUUUCUGUCUUCAUUAGAUCAGAAUACUUGGGUAUUUGCAAAUUGUCAUUUUAUUCUAGUUGGCAGAAAAUGAUUGUGAGUUUGAAGGGAAAAAAAGUUUGUCCCUAGACCAUUAGGUUUGUCCUCUUGCUUCAAUUUCAUAUUGCUAUGUUAACUUGUCAAGGAUAUAAGUGGUUGCAUAUACUAUUGGAUGCAUGUGAUGCUGGUCCAGUGUUACCUAAUUCGCUAUCUAAUUCGCCUUUUGAAUUCGCCAAUUCGCCUAAAAUGAGCUAAAAAUGAACCAAAAAUUCGCUUUUCUCAAUUCGAGAUUCGCGGGGGAAUUAGGGAAUUAGGUAACACUGUGCUGGUCCCAUAUUUUGUCCUAAGGCCAACCAACUUAAAGCAGAAGUUAGUGCAGCUAAACGUAUUCCGAGCUCCUGCUCUGAGGGCUAGAACUUAAUCUGCAAAGAAUGUUUUAUCAGUAUUGGAGUUCGCUUUCUUAUCGAGUCCUGAUUCUGAUUGAGAGGCUUCAUCAACAUUAUUGCAAUGGUAGAACAUUGUUGCAUUAACAUUACUAUGUUCUCUUGUCUAGUGGGACGUCUUAUACAUUCUGCAUUGAUGCUAUUUUCUUGAAUAUUCAGUGGGAAUUUCAGAAUGGCACACAUAGUUUUUUAUAUGUUGGCUUUUGGCUUCUCAUGCAUGCAUGCACGGCAUUUUUUCGCUGGUAUCUUUUUUGUUGGAUGAUCUAGGUUUUAGCUUGUUAUUACUACUGAGUGUGCCAUUUCAGAAAAUUCUUAUUCGGGUGAAUUAUAAGUGACGCAUAUUAUUCCUUGAAUUCUUUGUCAUGAGAUUGGUGAUAUCGAGCUACGUUGCUGAUGGAUUAGGAAAUUUUGCUCAAUUCAUUUCAAGUAUGUACUUUUAUAUUAGUUCGUAUGCAUUUUGAUUAAAUUUUUUAUCUUGCACCAAGUUCAGUCUUCUGCUUCAGGCCCAUGUUGAUCUUGAUGGUGUUACGUCUUUCUAUCCUGCUUCUAGCUCUUUUUGAUCUUAUGGCUGAUCUCAUUGAUUAGCCUACACUCAUGUGGCCUUGUGAUUUUGUGAGAGCUAUCCUUUACUUUUUUUUUUUUUUUACAUAUUUGGUUCUCCUUUUAGGUUUUGCUUCAGCAGAUAUUUUGUGGCAUAAUGCUUAAUUGGGCUUCACUUUUCUAUGUCUCAGUUUUGGAGGUCUGUCCUGAAUUGGUCUUUGCUGAAACCUGCAAGUUAGCUAUGUUUCUAAUAUCAUUCUGGAGUUGAAAUGUUUCUCUGCUUCAGGUUCAUUCUUAUAUGAGCCUUUGUUUGAUUAAUGCCGGCGACGUAGAUUAUUAGUUGGGGUUAUAGGGACUAGAAAAGACAAGCCUCUCGGGUUAACUUACAAGGGAACUAUUUUUUUCCCCGGUUUUUUUCUGGUUGCAGAUGUUGUGCUCCUUGAUAUUUGGGAGGUUUGAAGGACAACAGUACCCUAACUUUUUCUGACGUGUUUUUCUCUUCGUACGGUAUUAGAUUUUUUUGUUUUUCUCCAAGGGCUUGUUUCACAUUAGGAAUUUCAUUCGUUGACAAUUUUGCUUUUUGUUUCUUUUGUUUGAUUUUUUUCCUUGUUUUUUUUUGGUGUGAAUUAGCUCUUGUUGUAAUGAUGCAUUUAGUUGCUGCUGAAUUUUGGUGGUUCAGGGAUGUACUGUUGGGAAAAGCUGUAAGUGUAGGGAGUUUCUUGUCCUGUCAGCCUCCAUUUUUAUCUUGGUACUUUUCAUAUAUAUAUACUCCAUCAGAUUGUUGUUUAUCGUUUUUGCAGAUUGAUUUUGUUGGUGGUGUUCAUUUGUCAAUGAGGCUUCUGGUACUUUAGUCCACUUUUCAGUCAUCUUUUAAGGUAGUUUAAUGUUUCCGAAUUUGUGGUAGAUGGUCGUGUUUGUCUUGGUUCUAAAUAGUUAUGAGCACUUUGGCAGUUGAUUCCUCUGCUGAAGGAGUUGCUGUGGUGCCUUGUAUCCUACCUUAUUAUGAGUUGGAUAUUUUGGUUAGCAAUUAGAAGAUUUCUUUUCCCUUGUGGUGCAUCUUUGUAAUAGUCUGGCACCACUGGGCGCUUUUUCUUCAAACUUCCUGUAGUAUGCGUCUUGCCAUCCUAUUAUCUCUGAUAUGUUCUUAUAGAAUGUGCUUUUACUGUGUAUAUCGGGUAGUUGUGGGUAUUUUUGGUAUGUGUUUAAAAUCCUAUGUUUCUUGAUUUUUUGCUAUUUCGAAUGUGAAACCUUUUGGAUUGGUGAGUAGUAUCUCAUUUUGUUCUAUCCCACGUACAUGUUUCCAGCAUUGCGGUGAGACUAGGUUGUUUUGGGAUAAGCCAGUCAUUUAUAUAUGAAUUUCUUGUUAGAGGGUAAUUAUGCUGUACAGGAUUUUGACUGAUUCAGUGUGGCUUAUUUGGAUAAGCCGAGUCUUUUGGAUCUUGUAGCUCUGCUCUUUCCCUAUUUAAAGAACGGCAAGUAUAGACUGGUGAAACUUGAAGUUUGUUGUCUUAAGUUUGCCAUCUAACAUGUAGUGUGGGUCAUGCCUUGAGCCAUGAAACCAGUGUUACCGUCUCUGCCAUGAAGCUGUGUAAGGUGUAGUGGUGAUGGUUAAGAAUUAACGAACUGCACAUCAAUGUUUUGAUAUUGUUUCAUGGUGUUGAUUAAAUUGUUUCCUGCUUAGUACGGAAUGCUCAUGUAAGUUCAUCUAAGAAUUUGUAUCUUUAUUCUAUGUAUUAUGUGUGUGUGUGUGUGUGUGUGUGGGGGGGGUAAUAUUGGUUUGUGAAAAUUUCUAUGUGGUUAUGUUGAUUAUAUUGUUACUUGUGAUGUUUGUCUGUGCUUCAUGAUUUAAUUGCACUUGUCUCUUGCUUUAGUAUAUGUCGCAUUAUUUAUGUGAUUUUGCUCUACAUGGUUGAUGCAUAUUUUGAUCUUGAUCUCAUAAUAGGUGUUAUCAAUGAGUCUUGUGGGUCUUAUUAGCAUUUUAGUUGAUGCUAUGGUUAAGAUCACUAUUUUGGCUUUUGCAGUUUAGAUUUUUUUUGGUACUUCUAUUGGGGACUGGGGUACUUGCUGAAUCUUGUCUUUGUUUGGCUAUAUGAUAUUGCUUGUCUCUAGAUGUGAUUUGUGUAUUGGGGGAUUUGCUAAAACUUGUCAUUGUUUGGCCAAAUUAUUUUGCUUUCCUCUAGAGAUGUGGAUUCUGGUUAAUAUACACAUAAUGCUAAUAAUUUCUGUUGUUUUCUACAUAUAUGGUUCACCUUGUACAUUUUGCUUCAGCAGAUUUCUUGGAAAGACAUUAAUAUGUUCUGGAUGCCGUACAGCUUAAUUGGGUUUUGCUUAUCCAAUUUUUCAGUCUUGGAGGUCUAUCCUGAAUUGGUCUUUGCCAAAAACAUUCAGGGAUGUUAAAGUCAAGUGUCAGCCCACAUUCUAUGGGUCAUUGUGUAAGCAUAUGCAUUGUGAGAAUCCAUUUUUUGGAUGAUUUUCCUUCUGGUAAUUGUUUCUCAUUUUGACUAAUGAUUUUUGAGAUGUUAUUGGACAUUGGUGCAUUUUAAUAUACGAGAUUGUCUUUCAGAUACUAUAUCUUCAGGAUUGGGGGUCGCGGCUGGAAUGAUGGGAGUGGCAAAAGGGUUGGGGUUGUUGGAUUAUAUUGGAUCUCAUAGUUGCAGGACUCCUUCCAUGGCUUUGGAAUUAUUUUUAAAUAGGAAGCCUCUGUAACUAAAUGUUUGCAUAAUGUUGAUGUCAAUUAUGUUAUUCCUGCCUUGCUAGAUCGAGCUCUUAUAGUAACCAGUGUAUGUUUUCUCACUCUGUCUCGAUCUCUUACAAGAAAAUGUUCAGUUUGAUCUGCAUAUAUGAACAAGCUUUGAUAGACUAUGUUCUUACAGCAUAUGCUGGGGAGCCUGGGAACUUAUAGUAAGUUUGGGGUCUCCGGUCUUUGGUCUCAUGUUCUAGAUUUUUGUUGGCUACUUUGAUCAUGAAGAUCUUUUUAGGUUGGUGCGUGUGUUAUUUUUUUCAUUUACGUCAAGGUGUAUUUGUAUAUGUUUCCCGUGGUGUUUAUGACCAUGUUUUUUGGCAAGUCAAUUCAUUUUUGAACAGGAAAAAGCUGCUUUGCGAGGGCGAUUGGAGUUCUUUUGGAGUGUAAUCGCGCUGGACUAGAUGGACUCUUCUUGUGAGGAAAAACGGGGGGACAUGGAGGCAAAAAAGGGGAUCCUAUUGUUCCGAUGUUGGAUAAUAAGCCCAUGAGCUUGGUCUUACUUCACUGCCGAGAAACAAAAGAAGACUUCUACCUCCAAGUUUAACUCAGAUGUCGCUCGCUUAUUUUUGGGUGUGAAGCAGUGUCAAAUCAAUUUUGCUCAACUUUUCAUGUAUGUAAUUUUAUAUUAGUUCGUAUGUAUUUUGAUUAAAUUUUUUAUUCUGCAUCAAGUUUAGUCUUCUGUUUCGCGCCCAUGUUGAUCUAGAUGGUGUUGGCGUCUUUCUUUCCUGCUUCUAGCUCUGUUGAUCUUAUGGCUGAUCUCAUUGAUUAGCCUACACUCAUGUGACCUUGUUGUGAUUUCGUGACAGCUAUCCUUUACUUUUUCUUUUUCUUUACAUAUUUGGUUCCCCUUUUAGGUUUUGCUUGAGCAGAUAUUUUGUGGCAUAAUGCUUAAUUGGGCUUCGCUUUUCUUUGUCUCGGUUUUGGAGGUCUGUCCUUAAUUGGUCUUUUUUGCAGAAACCCCCAAGUUCACUAUGUUUCUAAUAUAGUUCUGGAGAUUGAAAUGUUUCUCUGCUUCAGGUUCAUUCUUAUAUGAGCCUUUGUUUGAUUAAUCUCGGCGACGUAGAUUAUUAGUUGGGGUUAUAGAAGAGAGGAGCCUUUUGGGUUAACUUACAAGGGAACUAUGUUUUUUUUCCGGUUCUUUUCUGGUUGCAGAUGUUGUGCUCCUUGAUAUUUGUGAGGUUUGAUGGAACACAUCUUUUUCUCACGUGUUUUCCUCUUCGUACGGUAUUAGAUUUUUUGUUUUUCUCCAAGGGCUUGUUUCACAUUUGGAAUUUCAUUCGUUGACAAUUCUGCUUUUUGUUUGAUUUUUUUUCCUUGUUUUUUGUGUGAAUUAGCUCUUGUUGCAAUGAAGCAUUUGGUUGCUGCUGAAUUUUGGUGGUUCAGGGAUGUACUGUUGGGAAAAGCUGUAAUUGUAGAGGGAGUUUCUUGUCCUGUCAGCCUCCAUUUUUAUCUUGGCACUUUUUAUACAUAUGCUCCAUUAGAUUGUUGUUUUUCUUUUUUGCAGAUUAAUUUUGUUAUGGUGGUGUUCAUUUGUCAAUGAGCCUUCAGUUCCGGUACUUUAGUCCACUUUUCAGUCAUCUUUUAAGGUAGUUUAAUGUUUCGGAAUUUGUGGUAGAUGGUCGUGUUUGGUCUUGGUUCUAAAUAGUUAUGAGCACUUCGGCAGUUGAUUCCUUUGCUGAAGGAGUGGUUGUGGUGCCUUGUAUCCUACCUUAUUAUGAGUUGGAUAUUUUGGUUAGCAAUUAGAAGAUUUCUUUUCCCUUGUGCUGCAUCUUUGUAAUAGUCUGGUACCACUGGGCACUCUUUCUUCAAACUUCCUGUAGUAUGCGUCUUGCCAUCCUAUUAUCUCUGAUAUGUUCUUAUAGAAUGUGCUUUUACAGUAUAUAUCAGGUAGUUGUGGGUAUUUUUGGUAUGUGUUUAAAAUCCUAUGUUUCUUGAUUUUUUGCUAUUUCGAACGCGAAACCUUUUGGAUUGGUGAGUAGUAUCUGAUUUUGUUCUAUCCCACGUACAUGUUUCCAGCAUUGCGGUGAGACUAGGUUGUUUUGGGAUGAGCGAGUCAUUUAUAUAUGAAUUUCUUGUUAGAGUGAAAUUAUGUUGUAUAGGAUUUUGACUGAUUCAGUGAGGCUUAUUUGGAUAAGCCUAGUCUUUUGGAUCUCUUAGUUCUGCUCUUUCCCUAUUUAAAGAACGGCCAGACUGGUGAAACUUGAAGUUUGUUGUCUUAAGUUUGCCAUCUAACAUGUGGUGUGGGUCAUGCCACACGUUCAUGAUUAUCUUCACUUGGUCUGUUCAUGUGGAUAUAGUUUUGGUGUUCCCAUUAGAUGAAGGUUGCUGUCUUGAGGUUCUAGUAUUUUCUGUGUUUAUGUAUUUGAAGUCUGUGGUUAUGUUGUGUAAGUUGGUUGGUCUAUCUAUGGUUGGCUGCAAAGCGAAGAAUUUGUGGUUAAGUGUAAAUUAUUCUUCUAUCUUGUGGCUGGCAUUAUCUAGGACCACUUUUGGAGCUCUCAUGUGAGAGUUAGCUGAUUCACCUUUUCUGUAGGUUCCUUGACAAAUUAUAGAGGUGCUUGUUUGUCCAUGAGAUCAUUGGACUUUGUCUUCCUGCUGAUUGUUUAUAUUAUGAUGCGGAGAUCCUAAGUGGUUGCAUACAACAUUAUAGUUCGUUUUAAGUUCCGAUUAUGAUGGGGAUAAGCUUUUACUAGUUACAACAGCAAAUAUUAUGUUUGGUUUUCUUUUAACUCUGAGUAGUCUUCGCUGCAAGCUGUUUAUUUUUAGUUUUAUGAGCUGUAUUUUUGUCAUAUUAUAUCCUUGGAUCCGUUGACAUGAGAGUGGUGACUCCAAGGUUCAGUACUGGUGCAUUACAUAAUUUUUUCCGCAGCUUGGGUAUAUAUAACUACAUUAGUGUUUGGAUAUCUGAUGCAUGUUGAUUUUAAUGUUACUGGAUGUUUACCGGUGUGACGUGGCCAUCUUUCUUUUCACUCCAGGCUUUGUGUUCUAUCUUAUGGUUCAGGUCACUGGUUGGUUUACUCACCAUUGAUGAUUUUGUGACGUGGUUAUUUAUUUUCUUCUCUAUAUAUAUAUUUCACUUUUUCAGUUUUACAUAAGUAGGUUCCUUUUUGAUAACAUAUUUAAAAGUGAUGCUAUGAUGGUGGUGUUACAGAGUGCUUGAUAUGGGGAGCUUUGCUUACCCAUUCCUCACUCUUGGUUUUGUCCUGAAUUGGUUUGUCACAUGCAGAGUUACGAGGUUGGUCUUUUUCCUCUGCUUCAUGGUUUGAUCCUGUAUUAACCUUUUUUGAUUGACACAGGGUGUCUUUGUGAGCUAUGAAGUAUGGAAACUCUUUAGGAUAUGAGGUCCCAUUCCUACUUCCAGAACUCCCACACCUAAUCAAUUCUAUGUUAGCGAAGCCUAAAUAGCUGGAGUGGGAGGUUCUCUGUUUCAGAAACGUUGUUUCUUUGCCUAUAUCCCCACUCGUUUCUGUGUUACAUAAGUGAAGAGGAGUUUUAAGUUCAUUCAAUUAAAAUUGGAUUUCAUUUUGAUGGUUCCUUUUGGUUGCAGAUGUUAGGCUCCUUGAUGUUUGAGAAAGAUGUUGGAUGAAAAACUGUAGCUGCAUUCCAACGCACUGUUUUUCUCAUUGGUCGAUAGUUCUUUUUGGUUGGAGACCUUGUGUAUAUCUUAUAGUCUGCUGCAGAUUUGGAAGUGUAGUUGCUCGUUCUUCUAAUUAUGUGUGUGUGCUUUUUUGCUGUUUGUUUGUUUUACUUGCUAAUGUAAUCACUUGCAUAUUCUUUUUCAUGUGAUGUUUGUAGAUGCCUGAGUUCUUAUAUUAGAUAUACUUGCUUCUGGUAUGUGCUUUCAUCCUAUGCGUCCAUAUUUGGGUCAAGUUAUUGUAUUCCAACGUUUGUCUAGUUGCUUCCUUUUCUAUGGCUUUGAAAUGCUUUUAUAGAUAGUCAGCGUAAUUUAAAUCAUUAGUCAAUUUGAGGUCAUGGUUAUUGGCUUUGUAUGCAAUGCUUGUAUCCGUUAUGUUAUUCUUGCCUUUGCUUGAAGAAAUGUAUGUGCAGUUUUUCUCAUGGUGUUUAGCUGUGGUCACUUUAUUUUCUUGCUCUAUCUCAACUUCUUCCAAGACUUGAUUGGUUGUUUGAGCUGCAUCUUCAUGUUUUCGAUAGGUCUUUGGUGCUGUUAUGACUUGGAGUAUAUGAACAAGCUGUGAUAGACUGUGUUCUUACAGCAUAAAUUGGGUAGUCCAGGAAAUUGUUGGUAAGUGUUGUAGUUUCCAUUAAUAUUUCCCAAUUCCGUCUGGGUACAUAAUCACAAAAAUGGUGCAUUAGUAUAUGUUGUUGUAUGACCAGGUCGUUCAGGGACGAGCCAAUAAUUUAUUUUUGAACAGGAAAUGGAGAUGUUGUUGCUUUGCGAGAGUGAUUUUGAGUUGUUAUGGUCAUGCUGGCCAAGAUGGACUCAUCAUAUCUGAAAAAAGCUAAUUUGUUUCGAUUUUUCUACUUUUACGUUUCACCUAAUGAUGACCAGCAUGUAUGUUUUGGCCAAAGGUUCUGUCAAAUUUGAAGUUACAACUUCAGUUUGCUAUCUAUGUGUUUGGGUCAUGAUCCUCUGGAUACUUCUUAGAAUACUUUUGGCAUUCGGACAUGUUGAUGUUUUGAGUGUCUGGUAUUCUGGUUUAUGUUAAUUUGUAUUUUAGAAAUCUGUAAAUUAUCAUUCUUUGUGGUGCUUCAGGCUCUAUAUUUUGCUCUAAGGCCUACCAACUAAAGUAAAACUUAUUGCGGCUAUUACAUAUAACCACCUGCUGCUUUGAUGGCUUGAGCUUACUCUGCGAAAAAUAUUAUAGUAAUGUUGGAGUCAUUUUUUUACCGAGUGCUGAUGCUGAUUGUAGAGACUUCAUCCAUUUCAUUAUAAGUAUAUGGUUACACAUAUCAGCAUUUUGGUAGAAUAUUAUCGUUGCAUUAACAUACAAGGCGUUUUUAUUUCUUUGGGACACACAUUCUGCAUUGAGGCUGUUGUUUUGAAUUUUCAGCGAAAAUUUUGGAUAUGGUCGUGGUGCGUUUUGAUCAUAAUUGUUUAACUAUUGGCUUUUGGCUUCUCGUUCAUGCAUGCAUGACAUCUUUUCUAUUGGUUUUUUUAUUGGCUGAUAACUUCUCAUUGCUAUGAUUAUGAAUGUGUUGUGUGUGAUAUAUAGUGUUAGUUAAUCCCUUUUCCCUGUCAGGAAAAUGGAGGUUUUUCUGUUAACUGAAAGGAACGUAUAUUAUAUCUGGCUUGAAAAUUUAUGGUUUGCUUUCAUGUCAUGAUUUCAUGAUCUGUUUGCCAUUUCUGAAGUCAUGUUGGUCAUAGGUUUUGAGGGGAUUUGUGCGGGUGCUGAUGCGUUUUAUUCUGUGCUCCUCGCUGCAGCGAUAUAUCUUUGUUGGGUCAUCAUCUUUUGGCUGCACGAUGAUCGAUCUUGGGAGGUCUUGUGUUGAUUUAAGAGGGAGUUUUUUUGUCUUCUAUAUUUUUGGAGAUGUGCUCUAGUAUAUUAUCAGUUCUUUUCGAUAUCUGCUUUAGUAUCUUGUAUGGUAACUCUAAAUUUUCUUUGAUAUUUCAGUUGAUGCUGGACUUCGAGUAGUCUUUGAUACCAGUUGCUUUGUUAACCAUAGUCUUUUGAGCUAUAUGUGUCAUACAAUAUCUUAUAUCUUUAAAUUUGUUCACACGAAAUUGGUGAUGGAGCUCAAUGCUUAUGGAUUAGGUUGUUCGCUUAACUUCUUGGCUAUAUAACUUUAAUUAGCUUGUUUGCAUCUUCAGUAAAUUUAUUUGUUGUGCAGAUUCCAAGUUUAUCCCUCUUGCUUUAGGCCCAUGUUGAUACUCUCUUGUUCCUUUGUGUUGUCUUGGAGCUUCUUUGAUUUAUUUAGAGGUGUAUAUUAAUUUGUAGUGAACUCUUCUUUUUGUUUUUCUUUUUUUCUUCUCAGGGAUGUUUUAGUCAAGUGCAGCACACAUUCUAUAGGUCAUUAUGUAAGCAUAUGCAUUGUGAGAAUCCAUUUUUUUGGAUGAUUUUCCUUAUGGUAAUUGUUUCUCGUUUUAACUAAUGAUUUUUGAGAUGUUAUUGGACAUUGGUGCAUUUUGGGAUACGAGUUUCAGAUACUAUUUCUUUAGGAUUGGGGGCCGUAGCAGGAAAGAUGGGAGUAGCAAAAGGGUUUGGGGGGGGGGGGGGGUUUGAUUAUAUUGGAUCUCAUAGUUGCAGGACUCCUUCCAUGGCUUUAGAAUUUUUUUUUAUAGGAAGUGUGUAAUUGAAAUUUAAGUUAUAGGAAGUAUCUGUAACUAAAUGUAUGCAUAAUGUUGAAUUAUGUUAUUCCUGCCUUGCUAGAUCGAGCUCUUAUAGGAACCAGUAUAUGUGUAGUUUGUGUGUGUGUUUGCAGGCAUCCCUCUCUGCAAUAAGGAGUUUUCUCACUCUGUCUCAAUCUCUUACAAGAAAAGGUUCAGUUUGAUCUGCAUAUAUGAACAUGCUUUGAUAGACUAUGUUCUUACAAGAAAAGGUUCAGUUUGAUCUGCAUAUAUGAACAAGCUUUGAUAGCCUAUGUUCUUACAGCAUAUGCUGGGGAGCUUGGGAACUUAUGGUAGGUUCGGGGUUGUUCUAGAUUUUUGUUGGCUACUUUGAACAUGGAGAUCUUUUUAGGUUGGCAUGUGUGUUUUUUUUUUUUCAUUUACAUCAUGACCUAAAUGGUGUAUUUGUAAAUGUUUCCAGUGGUGUUUAUGACCCGGUUAUUUUAGGGACAAGUCAAUUCAUUUUUGAACGCUGCUUCACGAGGACGAUUGGAGUUGUUUUGGAGUGUAAUCGCGCUGGACUAGAUGGUAUCUUCUUAUGAGGUUUAUUUGAAAAAGCUAAUUCAUUUAGAUUAUGUAGAUUCACUCUUUUCUAAAACCAGCAUGUAUGUUUUGGCCGAAAGGUUCUCUCAAAAUUGAAGUUUAUUCUGUUCACUUCAAGUUGCUAUCUAUGAUGCGGUGUUUGGUUCAUGCCUCAGGUUGAUUGUUUUCUAGAUACUUCUUAUAAUACUUUUGGAAUUUCUUAAGAGGUUGAUGUUUUGAGGGUCUCAUGGUUUUCUGUCUUCAUUAUAUCAGAAUACUUUGGGUAUCUGCAAAUUGCCAUUUUAUUCUAGUUGGUAGAAAAUGAUUCCGAGUUUGAAGGAAAUAAAAAGUUUGUCCCUAGAUCAUUAGAUUUGUCCUCCUGCAUCAAUUUCAUAUUGCUAUGUUUACUUGUCUAAGGAUCGAAGUGGUUGCAUGUACUAUUGUAUGCAUGCUGGUCCUAUAUUUCAUCUGAAGGCCAACCAACUCAAAGAAGAAGUUAGUGCAGCUAUAACGUAUUCCGAGCUCCUAAUCUAAGGGCUAGAACUUAAUCUGCAAAGAAUGUUCUAUAAAUAUUGGACUUCACUUUUUUAUUGCGUCCUGAUUCUGAUUGAGAGGCUUCAUCAAUUUCUUCAUGAAGUACUAUGGUUACACAUUAUAGCAAUGGCCAAUGGUAGAACAUUGUUGCAUUAGCAUUAUUUAUUGUCUAGUGGAACGUCUUAUACAUUUUGCAUUGAUGCUAUUCUCUUGAAUUUUCAGUGGGAAUUUCAGAAUGGCACACUUCGAAUAUAGUUUUUUAUAUGUUGGCUUUUGGCUUCUCAAGCAUGCAUGCACGACAUUUUUUCGCUGGUGUCCUUUUAUUGGAUAAUCUAGGUUUUAGCUUGUUAUUACCACGAGUGUGUUGUGUGAUAUACCUUUAGUCCCUUUUCUCUGUCGGAAAAAUGGAGGUUGUCAUGUUGACUAUUCCGUUUUCUUUUAGUUGUACCAUAUUGACUUUUGACACUUUUCACUUUGACCUUGUUGAAUGUAUCUAUACCUAAGAAAUAACAUAGUCAUGUGUAAUCAUGUUAGAUUUGUCUCAUCAUGUAGUUUCUUAAUACUAACUUUUUAUAAUUAGAGAUAUAAGUUCAAAAGAAUUAGGGUUUAGUUUUAUGUCAUGUUUUCUGUUUGCCAUUUCAGAUAUCAUGUUGGUCAUAGGUUGUGAAGGAUUAGUACGGGUGCUGAUGGAUUCUAUUCUAUGCUCCUCACUGUAGCGACAUGGUCUUUGUAGUGUCAUCAACUUUUGGCUGCACGAUGAUGGAUUUUGAAAGAUCUUGUGCUGAUUUAAGAGGGAGUUUUCUGUCUAUCAUUUGUUUUGGAGAUCUGCUCUAGUAUCUUAUUUGGGAAUAGUUUUUUGAUAUUUCAGUUGUAGAUUGACUCUGCUUUGUGCUUCAUGUUCAUUCUCAGAUGAUUUUGGUUUUAUAUCACUCAUAGUUCCAUGUGGAUCUGACUCGGAUAUGUGUCAUAAUCUUACGUUUGUGGAUCAUGACUAUUGGAAUGAUGUUUUGGCUUUGACUGGUUGUUGCUGCCAGCUGGUUUGUUCUCCAUAGUCAUUUGAGUUAUAAGUGCCGUAUAUUAUUCCUUGAAUUCUUUGUCAUGAGAUUGGUGAUAUCGAGCUACAAUGCUGAUGGAUUAAGAAAUUUUGCUCAGCUUUUCAAAGUAUAUAACUUUAUAUUAGUUUGUACGCAUUUUGAUUAUUUUUUUUUAUUGUGCGCCAAGUUUAGUCUUAUGCUUCAGGCCCAUGUUGAUCUUGAUGGUGUUGGCGUCUUUCUUUCCUGCUUCUAGCUCUGUUGAUCUUAUGGUUGAUCUCAUUGAUUAGCCUACACUCAUGUGGCCUUGUUGUGAUCUUGUGACAACUAUCCUUUACUUUCUUUUUUUAACAUUUGGUUCCCCUUUUAGGUUUUUCUUCAGCAGAUAUUUUGUGGCAUAAUGCUUAAUUGGGCUUUUGCUUUUCUAUGUCUCAGUUUUGGAGGUCUGUCCUCAAUUGGUCUUUGCAGAAACCUCCAAGUUCGCUAUGUUUCUAAUAUUGUUCUGGAGAUUUAAAUGUUUCUCUUCUUCAGAUUCACUCUUGUAUGAGCCUUUGUUUGAUUAAUGCUGGCGGUGUAGAUUAUUAGUUGGGGUUAUAGGGACUAGAAAAGAGGAGCCUUUUGGGUUAACUUACAAAGGGAACUGUUUUUUUUUUCCGGUUUUUUCUGGUUGCAGAUGUUUGAAGGAGCCUUGAUAUUUGGGAGGUUUGAAGGAGAACAAUACCCUAAGUCCUUCUAACGUGUCUUUCUCUUCAUUCGGUGCGUGUUGAUUUUAAUGUUACUGGAUGUUUACUGGUGUGAGGUGGCCAUCUUUCUUUUCACUCCAGGCUUUGUGUUCUAUCUUAUGGUUCAGGACACUGACUGCUUGAUAUGGGGAGCUUUGCUUACCCAUUUCUCACACUUGGUUUUGUCCUGAAUUGUGUCACAUGCAGAAUUACGAGAUGUUAGGCUCCUUGAUGUUUGAGAAAGAUGUUGGAUGAAGAGCUGUAGCUGAAUUCCAACGCACUGUUUUUCUCAUUGGUCGAUAGUUCUUUUGGCUGGAGACCAUGUGUGUAUCUGCUGCAGAUUUGAGAAGUGUAGUUGUUCGUUCUUCUUAUUAUGUCUUUGGUGCUGUUAUGACUUGGGAGUAUAUGAACAAGCUGCGAUAGACUAUGUUCUUACAGCAUAAAUUGGGUAGUCCAGGAAAUUGUGGUGCGAGGUUUGAAGUCCCAUGUUCUGGAUUUCUGUUGGCUACUUUGAACAUGAAGAUCCAUUUAGGUUGGAAAUGGAAUAUAUUGUUGCUUCGCGAGAGUGAUUUGGAGUUGUUAUGCUCAUGCUGGACAAGAUGGACUCAUCAUAUCUGAAAAAUGCUAAUUUGUUUUGAUUUUUCUAGAUUUACAUCUCACCUAAUGAUGGCCAACCUGUAUGUUUUGGCCAAAGGUUCUGUCGAAUUUGAAGUUACAACUUCAGUUUGCUAUCUAUGGUGUUUGGGUCAUGCACCAGGAUCCUCUGGAUACUUCUUAGAAUAUUUUUGGCAUUCGGAGAUGUUGGUGUUUUGAGAGUCUGGUAUUCUGGUUAUUUCUGUUAAUUUGAUUUGAGUAUUUUAGGAAUCUGUAAAUUAUCAUUCUUUGUGGUGCUUCAGGCUCUAUAUUUGCUCUAAGGCCUACCAACUAAAGUAAAACUUAUUGCAGCUAUUACAUAUUCCGAGCUACUGCUUUGAUGGCUUGAGCUUAGUCUGCGAAAUACAUAAUAGUAGUGUUGGACUCACUUUUUUAUCGAGUCCUGAUGCUGAUUGUAGAGACUUCAUCCAAUUCAUUAUAUAGUAAUGUUGGACUCACUUUUUUAUUGAGUUCUGAUGCUGAUUGUAGAGACUCCAUUUCAUUAUAAGUAUUAUGGUUAGUUUUUAGUUGGUUACACAUUUCAGCAUUUUGGUAGAAUAUUAUCGUUGCAUUAACAUACAAGGCGUCUUUUUUCUCCUUUGGGACACAAAUUCUGCAUUGAGGCUGCUCUUUUGAAUUUUCAGCGAAAAUUUUGGAUAUGCUCGUGGUGCGUUUUCAUCAUAAUUGUUCAACUGUUGGCUUUUGGCUUCUCGUUCCUGCAUGCAUAACAUCUUUUAUAUUGGUUUUUUUAUCGGCUGAUGCAGCUGAUAACUUCUCAUUGCUACAAAUGUGCUGCGUGUGAUAUAGCGUUAGUUAAUCCCUUUUCCCUGUCAGGAAAAUGGAGCUUUUUCUGUUGACUGAAAGUUUCCGUAUAUUAUAUCUGGCUUGAAAAAUUAAGGUUUGCUUCAUGUCAUGAUUUCAUGAUCUGUUUGCCAUUUCUGAUGUCAUGUUGGUCAUAGGUUCUGAGGGGAUUUGUGCGGGUGCUGAUGGGUUCUAUUCUGUGCUCCUCGCUGCAGCGAUAUAUCUUGUGUUUCUCGCUUUUAGGUCAUCCAUCGUUUGGUUCUACGAUGAUCGAUCUUGGGAGAUCUUGUGUCGAUUUAAGAGGGAGUUUCUUUGUCUUCUAUAUUUUGGAGAUGUGCUUAGUAUAUUAUCAGUUCUUUUCGAUAUCUGCUUUAGUAUCAUGUAUGGAAACUAAAUUUUCUUUGAUAUUU